GACGAACGCUGGCGGCGUGCUUAACACAUGCAAGUCGAACGGUGACCCAGGGCUUGCCCUGGUGAUCAGUGGCGAACGGGUGAGUAACACGUGGGCAACCUGCCACUGACUUCGGGAUAACUCCUCGAAAGAGGAGCUAAUACCGGAUACGACCACUUCGGACAUCCGAUGGUGGUGGAAAGUUUUUCGGUCAGGGAUGGGCCCGCGGCCUAUCAGCUAGUUGGUGGGUAAUGGCCUACCAAGGCGACGACGGGUAGCCGGCCUGAGAGGGCGACCGGCCACACUGGGACUGAGACACGGCCCAGACUCCUACGGGAGGCAGCAGUGGGGAAUAUUGCGCAAUGGGCGAAAGCCUGACGCAGCGACGCCGCGUGAGGGAUGAAGGCC
rnacentral:rRNA from 1 species